AUCCCUCACUGGAGACCUUUGCAAAUGCUUUCUCUCCUUUUCUUUGAUUUACGUCGCGGUUUAAAAAUGAUGUCGCAUCACAGCCUCUUUCUGUCAAGUGGUCCUUUAGGAGGAGGAGGAUCAUAAUGUGCAAAAUACCUGCUAUGUUAAGAUGCACGUCUCUCAAAGUGUCUGUCAACUGCAAAUAAAGCUAAUAAAGCAUGCAAACCUCAAAAGAACUCGGUGAGGUCAGAAUUGAUCGAGUUAAUCAAGCCAGCCCUUGUACUCAUGUGUUGACACAUGCACAGAAAAGAGGAGCCCCAAAAAAAAAAUCCCCACCAAAAAGCUGUCUGGCUUCACAAAGAGCUGGCUUCAAGUUAAAGCGCUGAAAGAUGCUAAAAAUACAUUUUUUCCCACAUGCACUGUGCCAUAUAAAAUAUUUAUAGUGAGCUCUAGUCUGCUUAGAAUGGCUGUAGCUUAGGAUGCUACAGGACGAGAGAGAGAGAGAGAGAGAGAGACAUGAGGGGUGGAGGGCCAGAACUUACAUAAGAGUAAACUGCAGUUUUAUAGUGCAGCACUAAGUUGAACUUUUUCAUCAAUCAAGCAUUUAACAUGCGAGUAAAGAUUUGAACUUUAGUGUUUUAUUAUUAAUGGACAUUACUUGACAAAGUAUGUGUUGCAGCCAGUUGAACAGAAAAAGAAGACAUUUAAAAUCCAGAGAAAUUAUACCAUAAUAGGAACUUUACCUCCCCAUGCCUAUGGUCAUUCAGUCUAUUUUAUUUCUUACACCUCACACAGAAAUAAAUACCCAUUUUACAGGCUUCACUAAAUGGUAGUUAAAUCUCUAUUGUGGAAUGACAAAACUACAAGUAUCAAGAAAGAAUAAAUCUUUAAUUGGCAGAAUUAAGGGUGGACAGAUAUCAAAUUUAUUUAUCAUCAGUUAGCUAACAGCAACAGUUAUUACUAAAUUUAGGGAUGAGAAUAAGCUAUUGCUUACACAAGUAAAGUAUGUGAAACAAACUUAAUAUAAAAAACUUCAAUAUCAAAUUUAGAUGGGUGCAAAACUUAUUCAUCUCAAGCAAACUUGAAAUGAUUCGCUCUUUAACUCAGCAACAACACACAUCUUCAUGAUGGGGUGUUGUGUGCAUAUAACUGAAUUCAGGGCAGGAUCAGUCAGACUCUAAUGUUAAUAAUAAACCAAAAUGUCUCAUGAAGUCUGUUGAAGUUAAUCCAAUAAAUAGUUUAGGGUGAAACUGUUGUCUUUCUUAUAAAUCUUCAGGUUGUGGGAACUGGACUCAGAAGUGUUGCUGAUAUUCCUUUGGGGACUUACGAUCCAAUACAAGAACUAAUUUAUCCCCAAAGUGAAAUUCAUCCAAAUGACUCUGACGCCAACACUGAGGACUUAAGAUUAAAGACUGUGGAGCACCCUCAUGUUGUUCUCUGUUGUUUUACCAGAAAUCAUUACGCUUAGCAAUUUACAAGCCAACAAGAACAGUGUGAGGGGACACGGUCAUGUAUUUAAUCAUUUAGAGGACCUAAAAACACUAGCCUGCUAGCCUGAGAAAUGAUACAUAGGCAUAGUUAUUAAUACAAGAGGCGUGCCAACUGAGCUUUAUCAUGCUGCAAUGUUGCAAACAGCUUUAACUCUUAACACACUUUAUCAGGCAUGUUUGCUUAUGGAACAAAGUAAAUUUUACAUGUCCUGUUAUUCAAACGCAUGCACAAUGCAUUAUCCAAAUGUUAAUGUUCCCACACACACACACGCAUACAACCCAUUUUAUCCAUACAUCUGUGUAUCAACAUGGAAAACAAAUUCAUUAUUUAACACCUUAUAUUCUACUGAGCCAUCGUGUAAUGGCCAUAAAUGCAUAAUGCAUGCAGCCCAUAUAGAAAGAAAUCACAAUUCCAAUGUGAUUUCAAGGGUCUACCCCGCUCUGCAUGGUAGAGCCUGCUGCUGCUGCUGUUGUGUUAUGCACACAGUGUUAUUUCUCAUCUUAGUGAGAAGAUGUAACCUUUCAGCUCUUCCUUAUAUGAUUUUCCAAGGCGGUGUCAAUGUAAAUCAUCCUUUAGGUAUAAGGUCAACAGAUAAUUUAUGGUUUGAUCUUUAUAUCAGCACCUCCAUGCAUUUUGAAAGACAGUCACAUACGUACAUCAUGUGUUAGUGUAUGUAUGGGGCAGGAGAAGGAAUCUAUAAUUCAACACUGGCUUUUUGAUGGCUUCUCCCCAGAGGCUUCUUGCUCUGCUGUUUUUGUUUUUUCUUUCUCCCUAUGACCCUUUUAAAGUCUUUCUAGCUUCUGCUUUGUCUUUUGACAGUGGCGCUGUUAGCAAUUGAUCAACUAGUGUUUCUGAGUGCACGUCUGUUUGAUGUUUCUGUGUGUUCAUUAGAGCUUUUGUUUCUAUUUUUUGCUAGCAGCAAGAAUCCUCUGGUCAGGUCUCUAAAUGGUUAAUCUCAUACAGAAACAAUCUGGAAAAUCUCCUCCACAUGAUGCGUUUCAGGGCAGGGGAAAUGGGCAUCUCACAAAUGACAUCUUAUCAAAUGAAGCUAAUUAAAUUCAGAUGGAGAUUAGAAGCUAACCCUUGCUCUUUGCUGCCUUAUUGAACCAUCUUGUUGCAUUUCUUUGUAACUGAUCCAAGUCUUUCCUUUUGCUGUCCAGGCUAGCUAUGUGGAGUGCCAUCUUUGGAUUCCCUUUAUUGGGACUGAAUACAUUGUUGAACCAUUUUGUCGGCUGACACAAAAAGACCAAAAACAUCUUGUUUGAUUAUCUGAUUAUUUCAAUUUUUGGGUUUAAAGCGGCACAUAUUCCUAAUAAGAUGGUAAUUUCAGUUCAGUCAUUAUCCAGUUUGGGUGCGAACAGUUACUCAAACGAUGCAGGUUAAUCAUUCCAGUGGUCACCUUAAAAUCUGAAUCUUAUCAUAUUGGCGACACUUGUUUUGAAAUCAACUUUGGGUUGCAGCUAAUUGUAUCUCUGCAUUUCUGUUGUGAGUGUUUUCUUUUAUUUUUAGGAGAAAUAGUGACCUCACACAAACAUCAUCUGAGUAUAAAGAAAUUAUCACUUAGUCACAAGAGGAAAAACAGACCUCUUGAAAUUUGGCUUUUCUCCUGACUCUGGGGAUUUGGUUUGUAUGAAGAACAUAAACUGGCCUUUAUCUGACUGCCUGUGGGUUUUCAAAUUGAUUUGUAGAUUUUAAUAAUCACUCUGGGUUUUGCCCAAAGUUAUACUGUAGAAAUGUGGGCACCAUAAAAGUCAUCUCACAGCCUUAGAUUUCAAGGUGGUGCCUGUUGGUCUUUCCAAAGUCCAGCUUUGAAGGAGAUUAAUCUUGUUAAAUCAAGGCCCUCGACUUUGAAAAGACCUUCCUGAGGAGAAAAAUGCUUGCAGAAUCAUUUGAAUCACUUCUAAAUUCACUUAUACAGACUUACUUUUAUGUGGUUUUCCUUUUUUCAUCACUUUUAACUUUAUUUUUCUUAAAUUAAUUUGAAGACUUGCUUUCAUAUAUUGAUGUUUUUGUUCAACCUAUUUGCUGUAAGUCUUCAUCUGAUCCCUCGAUCACAUUUAUUUCAUUUAUUUACUCAUUUAUUGAUUGGUUUAUUUAUAUCUCACUGCGCCUCAUCUUUUUAACUGGUUUUCAUUCUGAUAUAAUGUUCCUUUUAUUAUUUAUUCUGCUUGGUCUGUCAAAGCACUUUGUAAACUUCUCUUCCUAAAGUUGCUUUAUAAAUACAGUUAUUAUUAAUACACAUUUGUGCAAGUGCUUUACAAAAGAAUAGCUACAAACAAAAUAAUAAUAAUAAAAACAUCCAGCUUUGUCUCAAAUAGACUUCACACUCUCAGUUAUAUUAACUGUCAGUUUAUUAGUUUUUAUUAGUUUUGGAAAAGCUGUGCACACCCUCCACCCACUCUGCACCUCACUGUGACAGGCGCACACACUUUACUGUGGAGCAUGCUCAGUACGUCCUGCUUGUAAACACACAUUUUUUGUUUUUUUUUAAUCCCUCCUGUUAAAUGUCAUCUUCUGCUGUUGUUACAGUUAACUUCAGCUGUUAGUACACGGUGUGAUUUGGUAACCUUAUCACAUCGGUUUAGAUCAUUGUGAUGUGUGAUACAGUUAACAUUAAGUUUCCUCCUCGUGUCAUUCCACUGUGGUACUGCUGUUUUAACACACUUGGGUCUGCUUGUACACGUCCCCAUGUGAACACAGUCCAAGUUUGAUAUAAUGUCAUGAACUGAUCCACGAUUCAGACCAUGAAAACACCACGUCUGUGCAAAGAGCUCAAAUACCUUUACCUUACCUUUUGGCACAUGCAAGGAAAACACGUGGACAUGAAGGAGUGAUAGUCCAGAUCUGAAGAAAAUAACUUUAUAUCCCAGGAAAUACAAUUGCAUGUCUUCUUAGGGCUUCCAUAACACACAAAAUUUCAGCCAUUUUUGACUGUGUAGCAUGUGUUGUGCUGCACGUAUUUUUGAGUAAAUGCAAUAACCUGAAUAUAAAAACACUAUCUCAGUCUCUUUUUUCUGAGCUUGCUGUCUCACUCUGCCUCAUGUUUGUUAUUUUUUAUCCAUCUUCCUGAGCUCAGCAGAGGCUGUUUUGGAUGUUUUCUGUGUCAAGGUAACCUUCAGGGAAUUGAGUCAAGUUGUCUCUAAAUUGAAUAAUGAAUGUCUUUCUCUGUUUUUUCAACACAAGCAGGACCGCGCACAAACAGAAAGGUAUACGUACAGAGCUGGUAUCGUUCAUAAGCUAACACUGAUAACCAAUCAGUAAACUAGCCCUGCUGUCUCCAGAGGAUUCAGGAUGACACCGUCGAUAUCUUGCUCGCUCUCUUUGAUCCAUGAACAGCUUAGUCUCGCCAUCGUGUUAAUGAGAAGCAGGGAAACAUCAGCUAGACAAAAACAAGCGAGCUAAGGGAUCAAUUAAUUGGGAUAUGUCAGCAGUGACGAUAGCAUGAUGUGUGAUGUGUGCAGAAGUGGGCGAACGCAUGCUAAUUUAGUGCAACAACUUUCCACGGUUCAGCAGGAAAGUGUUGUCUAACACCUGCCGAACAGGUGCCUAUUAGGAUGAUUUAAGUAUUGAAAAGGUUUUAUGUCAAGAUGAGAGGAUCAACUGUGCAAGUUGGGGCUGGGAGGCAGAUUAUAUCAUUUGCCAUAGAGCAAGGCUACUUGUGGUUGUGCUAGGCUAAGCUAACCACUGCUUAUAUGACUCCAUGCUGGACAUCCAAAAAUGCAGAGAUGUAACUUUCCAGGAGUAGAUUUGAUGCAGUGAAGAAAACAUUUGGUGAAUUCUUCAAUAUAACAUGUUUUCUACAGCUGUCAUUGUGAGCUCGCCUGGCUGUAAAUUUAGGUGUAAGUGAUAAAAGUGACGAGGCCUGAAUUGAGGUGAAGUGUUUAACUUGAACUGUAUCAUUGUGCAAACAUGCAAAUAUCAUGGAGCUACAUUGUGAAAUGCAGUGGUGUUUUAAAUUACUUAAGCAUUGUUCAUUCUAUGUAUGUGUUAGGACAAAUGAAUUCAUUUGGAUUUACUGACAUGAUGCCAGAGAAGUAGAGUGGAUGAAAGUACAUGAGCUCAUGUUUUAGGCUGAGUGUGAUCGUAUUGACUCAUAUUUGUCCAGUAAGUCAUGUGACUUAUGGCAGGAAAACUUUAUUUAUGUGCUUUCAAAUAUUAAAAAAUCCAAAAUUGUUGUUGUUGUUUUUCGGAUUGGACUCUCAUCUAGUGUUGGUGGAAAGUAAUGGGGUUUUUAGGGAGAUGAGGUUAUAUUGUUGCUUAGAUUGGAGUCAGCUGGACUCCUUUGUUGAAACUGGCUGGACAACUGUGACAGAAGCUGGUGCACACAGGCUAAUUAUACCAUGAUAUUUUUACCAACAGUGUUUGGGUACAGCUCUAUUUCGGCAUUUUUCAAAGCCUUUCUUUGCUGUUGGUAAGCCCAUUUAUUUUUGCUCAGGACACAACACACAUGUUACUCUGCCUGCAGCACACCAGUCAGCUGUUCUGGUCUACGGUGGUCGACAGAGACAAAGAAUAAAAUUACACUCAAAAACAAGUGGUUCUGAGUGCAACCAUGAUAUGACAUUUACUAUAGACACAAAGGGUCAUCUUAAUGUACUGAAGAUGAGUGGGAUUUGGUAAUAUGGGUAUUUCAGUGGCUCAUGUAGGCUAUCAGUCAUCAUCCAGAUUUCUCUGUCUCACUAAAUGCUACUUUCACCCACAUUUUUACAUUCGCAGAAGCUAACUCUACAGAUGCCUGGAUUUGAUUUAUUUAUUUCAUUACCUCUGUUUUCUCAGGAUCACAAAUUAAUUUCACGGUGGACUACAAACAUCGGGCUGAUCACUGCACAUGGCACAGUGUCCGCAGGGUCUGCCUUCUGCAACAGGACGAAAUGCACAGGGUAAGAUGCACACUCCACAGGAACUUUACAGGAACAGAUCACCCCAGAAUUAUUCAUAGUCAUAACUAUUAGGCUGUUGCUCCGGUGCUUCUUGGUACGUGCAGACAAACUUUGGCAUGUGAGACAACGCCGUGAUUGCAAGAAAACUAUCUCGUGAUCUUGAGAAAAUGGGGGUAAAAUAAAUAAAUAAAUAAAUAAACCAUGUCCGCUUAGGGCUUCCGUAUCAUUCUGAUCAGUUCGGUCGGAAUAUUUUGCAUAUGUUACUCUGACUCCAGUAUUUAGAUAAGAGUUUCUUAAAUCUAUCUUGAUACUGUGGGGAAAUUGACCCCAUCUGCAGGAGCU